rnacentral:rRNA from 1 species
AGUGAACGCUGGCGGUAGGCCUAACACAUGCAAGUCGAACGGCAGCACAGUAAGAGCUUGCUCUUACGGGUGGCGAGUGGCGGACGGGUGAGGAAUACAUCGGAAUCUACUUUUUCGUGGGGGAUAACGUAGGGAAACUUACGCUAAUAUCGCAUACGACCUACGGGUGAAAGCAGGGAAUCUUCGGACCUUGCGCGAUUGAAGGAGCCGAUGUGGGAUUUGCUAGUUGGCGGGGUAAAGGGCCACCAAGACGACGAUCCGUAGCUGGUCUGGGAGGAUGUCCGGCCACACUGGAACGGGGACACGGUCCAGACUCCUACGGGAGGCAGAAGUGGGGAAUAUUGGACAAUGGGCGCAAGCCUGAUCCAGCCAUACCGCGUGGGUGAAGAAGGCCUUCGGGUUGUAAAGCCCUUUUGUUGGGAAAGAAAAGCAGCAGGUUAAUACCCCGCUGUUCUGACGGUACCCAAAGAAUAAGCACCGGCUAACUUCGUG